AAUCAACGCUGGCGGCGUGCCUCAGACAUGCAAGGUCGAACGAUUAAAGCUCUCUUCGGAGAGUGUAUAGAGUGGCGCACGGGUGAGUAACACGUAAGUAAUCUACCUUUGAGUGGGGGAAUAACAAUCGGAAACGAUUGCUAACUACCGCAUAAUGCAGCGGCAUCGCAAGAUGACAGUUGUUAAAGGAGCAAUCCGCUUAAGAGAGCUUGCGGCAGAUUAGCUAGUUGGUAAGGUAAUGGCUUACC
rnacentral:rRNA from 1 species